rnacentral:lncRNA from 1 species
GUGAGCCUUCGAUUCAGCGCGAAUUAUGGGUCCAAAAUACAAAUUGGUGAAAAUUUUGAAUGCACUUGAUGUGGAAGACAAGAUGGAAAUAGGUUUAUGUUUCAUAUGUGAUAAACCAUUUAAUUUUGAACAUCAAUUGUGGCAUCAUAAAAAUAUUCAGAUAGUAAUGAAGGAUGAAGAAGAAGAAUCUGAAUCGGAACAUGAAGCUCUUCAGAAGCAGGUGGGUGGCCUUGUAGCAAACAACACCGAAGAACCACACAAAGAACAACACGAGGAAGUGAAACCAGAAAGUGAAGUUGUCACGCAGGAUUUAAGUAGAGUUGAUGGGUCAAGGGUUUACACAGAGCUAC